UACGGGGGGGGCAAGCGUUGUUCGGAAUUACUGGGCGUAAAGGGCUCGUAGGCGGCCAACUAAGUCAGACGUGAAAUCCCUCGGCUUAACCGGGGAACUGCGUCUGAUACUGGAUGGCUUGAGUGUGGGAGAGGAAUGCGGAAUUCCAGGUGUAGCGGUGAAAUGCGUAGAGAUCCGGAAGAACACCGGUGGCGAAGGCGGCUCUCUGGACCACAACUGACGCUGAGGCGCGAAAGCGUGGGGAGCAAACAGG
rnacentral:rRNA from 1 species